rnacentral:misc_RNA from 1 species
GUGGCUGAAUUACGCCCAAAGCGAUCUUUUAUUAUGGCGGCUGGAAUCAUCGGUCGGGUAGCGACCAAUGCGCACCAGUUCGUAAAGAGAGCGUGGAUGGACCUGCAACUCACCUGAUAAUAGCUUGAUUCCGCCAUCUUGGACACUAUACUCCACUCACUCACUCACUGCUUUCUAUCCGUCCUUUGUGCAUGGAACGACGAAGUCCAUUGUGUUUACACGAGUAAUGUACGCUGCACCACCGAGCUGGUUGGAAGAAGCGACAAGAAGUUACUACCACAGAGAAGUAUGAAUGAAAGACGCGCGGCUCGCGAACAAAAUGCAGACACGAGCGCAUUCCACCGCACCAAACUGAAGACUGACGGAAAGUGCCGGGCCAAUCGUGGCCCAAAGGCGCGCGCACUGUACUGCCACCGCUAUCGCUAAAGGGGAUCCAUUCCAGGAAUGGAAGACAAUGGACCUUGUUCAUGACCUUGCAAAAUAGUGUAAAUUGGACCAAGAUUCAAAUGUGCCACUAAUGAACUGGCUUGCUCUGAUGUAAGAGUGUCAAUUUGUGCAUCAGAUUGUGCCUGAAAAAUGUCAUUUUAUCAAUAUCGAUAUAAAAUGUAUAAAAAGUUGGUAAAUUAGAACACAUCAAUUGUAGUCUUCACCUGUAAUCUUUCUAAUCUCUGAUCCAUAUAUUCAUACAGUGCUAAAGUAGACUGUAUUUGAUGCAUACAAUUUAGAAGAUAUACAGCCAUGUCUACUGUAGGUAAUCUUGAUGCUGUUUCAUUAACUUCUUGUAACAGUGGGUCAAUAAUGCACGAUACUAUCUGCAGAUUAUGUGGUAUAUGAAUUUCAUUCAGAUAUCGAUUUUAUAAAGCUAUUAAAUGCUGAUACAGACCUGUAGCAUGUCUUUCUCCCUAUCUUCCGCAAUACUUGCUACAGAAAGAAUUUCGUUAAGAAGUGACAGUAAUCUAGAAACAG